UACGUAGGGUGCAAGCGUUUGUCCGGAAUUAUUGGGCGUAAAGAGCUUGUAGGCGGUUUGUCGCGUCUGCUGUGAAAUUUCGGGGCUCAACCCCGAACUUGCAGUGGGUACGGGCAGACUAGAGUGUGGUAGGGGAGACUGGAAUUCCUGGUGUAGCGGUGAAAUGCGCAGAUAUCAGGAAGAACACCCGUGGCGAAGGCGGCUCUCUGGGACGGUACUGACGCUGAGACGCGAAAGCGUGGGGAGCGAACAGG
rnacentral:rRNA from 1 species